GACCCCUUCGUCUAUUGGUUAGGACAUCAGGUUUUCAUCCUGAAAAGAGGGGUUCGAUUCCCCUAGGGGUCACCA
rnacentral:tRNA from 1 species